UGUCUGAAACGCUAUGCUCAGUGAGGUAGACUGGAGUGUCUGAAACACUAUGCUCAGUGAGGUAGACUGGAGUGUCUGAAACACUAUGCUCAGUGAGGUAGACUGGAGUGUCUGAAACACUAUGCUCAGUGAGGUAGACUGGAGUGUCUGAAACACUAUGCUCAGUGAGGUAGACUGGAGUGUCUGAAACACUAUGCUCAGUGAGGUAGACUGGAGUGUCUGAAACACUAUGCUCAGUGAGGUAGACUGGAGUGUCUGAAACACUAUGCUCAGUGAGGUAGACUGGAGUGUCUGAAACACUAUGCUCAGUGAGGUAGACUGGAGUGUCUGAAACACUAUGCUCAGUGAGGUAGACUGGAGUGUCUGAAACACUAUGCUCAGUGAGGUAGACUGGAGUGUCUGAAACACUAUGCUCAGUGAGGUAGACUGGAGUGUCUGAAACAC